rnacentral:tRNA from 1 species
GCCUGGGGGGCUCAGUCGGUGAAGCGUCUGACUUCGGUUCAGGUCAUGAUCUCGCGGUCCGUGAGUUCGAGCCCCACAUCGGGCU